AUUGAACGCUGGCGGUAUGCUUAACACAUGCAAGUCGAACGGUAACAGGCCUUCGGGCGCUGACGAGUGGCGGACGGGUGAGUAACGCGUAGGAAUCUGCCUCAUAGUGGGGGACAACGUGGGGAAACUCACGCUAAUACCGCAUACGCCCUACGGGGGAAAGCGGGGGAGUCUUCGGACCUCGCGCUAUGAGAUGAGCCUGCGUUAGAUUAGCUAGUUGGUAGGGUAAAGGCCUACCAAGGCGACGAUCUAUAGCUGGUCUGAGAGGACGAUCAGCCACACUGGGACUGAGACACGGCCCAGACUCCUACGGGAGGCAGCAGUGGGGGAAUAUUGCGCAAUGGGCGAAAGCCUGACGUAGCCACGCCGCGUGAGCGAUGAAGGCCUUCGGUCGUAAAGCUCUGUGGGGAGGAGACGAAGAAAG
rnacentral:rRNA from 1 species